GACGAACGCUGGCGGCGUGCUUAACACAUGCAAGUCGAGCGGUAAGGCCCGUUUCGGGGUACGACGAGCGGCGAACGGGUGAGUAACACGUGGGUGACCUCGCCCUUAGCUCUGGGAUAAGCCUGGGAAACGUGGGUCUAAUACCGGAUAUGACUCCAUGACGCAUGUUGGUGGGGUGGAAAGCCUUGUGCGGCUAGGGAUGGGCCCGCGGCCUAUCAGCUUGUUGGUGGGGUGAUGGCCUACCAAGGCGACGACGGGUAGCCGGCCUGAGAGGGCGACCGGCCACA
rnacentral:rRNA from 1 species